UACAGAGGGUGCGAGCGUUGUUCGGAAUUAUUGGGCGUAAAGGGCGCGUAGGCGGUGCGGUAAGUCACCUGUGAAAUCUCCUGGCUCAACUGGGAGCUUGCAGGCGAAACUGCCGUGCUGGAGUGUGGGAGAGGUGCGUGGAAUUCCUGGUGUAGCGGUGAAAUGCGUAGAUACCAGGAGGAACACCUGUGGCGAAAGCGGCGCACUGGACCACAACUGACGCUGAGGCGCGAAAGCCAGGGGAGCAAACGGG
rnacentral:rRNA from 1 species